rnacentral:rRNA from 1 species
UACCAGCACCCCGAGUGGUCGGGACGUUUUAUUGGGCCUAAAGCAUCCGUAGCCGGUUCUACAAGUCUUCCGUUAAAUCCAACUGCUUAACAGGUGGGCUGCGGAAGAUACUAUAGAGCUAGGAGGCGGGAGAGGCAAGCGGUACUCGAUGGGUAGGGGUAAAAUCCGUUGAUCCAUUGAAGACCACCAGUGGCGAAGGCGGCUUGCCAGAACGCGCUCGACGGUGAGGGAUGAAAGCUGGGGGGAGCAAACC